UUUAUAUAUUUUUCAUUUCAAAUUUACUAUUUUUUAAAUUUUACUACAUAUUAUAUAUUUAAUUAGAGCUAGAACUAUAAUCAAUAUCGACUGUGUGACAUAAAAUUUUCUACUAUUAUACAUGUUGAAAGCAUAUAUAUUCAAGGUGAAAGCAUAUAUAUAUAUAUAUAUAUGAAAAAACAAAUCGAUGGUGACAAAUUAAAUAAUAUUGAAAUAAUUUCAUGUACAUAAAAUAGAGGAAAAAAAGAACAUACAUAGUAUACAAUUUGUCAGGACCCACCCCGAAUUUCACCCUGAAACCCGAAGUAAAUCAUGCGGGGACCACCUCUAAGGAAAGUUUACCGAAAAAUCGGCAUAACCUCCCUUGAAAAUGGACAACCCUUCCUAAUAAUACCUGCAUACACUUCAAAAGAAUCCAUCUAGAACCCUCUACUCUUGGAGCCUUCAUGCUCCCCAACACAACAUCUCCCAAAUUAUUUAAAUAUCUACACAAAUCCCAUAUUCAACCAUUUAUAGGUUCAGAGCAACUAUAAUAGGAAGAAAGGAAACAUAAUAAAUUGACAAGCGGAAGCUAUAUGAUGACUAUGCCUCAUCUCCAUGUACGCCCGACCUCAAGUAUGCUAACCUGCAAGCUGGGCAUUUUUAAAACGAAUGGCCCAGGGGAAUACAUUUGAAACCGUUAGAAUGAGUGGACAAAAAAAGAAAUUUAAUGAAAAUAUUUAUGCUUUCCCAAUUUACAUUUUCAUAGAAAAUAUGCUGCAUGAGACAGCUCAAAAACGCUCAACACAAAAACUGACAAUUUCAUGAUUUGCUCCGGCCAGUCUCCAAAACUCAAUAAAAUACCUCUCAGGCUAAAAUAAAAAUAUGUAUGUAUUACACUCGUCAUAUCCCUUGUAUGAAUUUUCUUGAAACAACAAAGACAAAUAGAAAUUCACACAAGGCUACAACGCUUGCGUCUAACGCUCACGUCGCACCAUAAUGAAAUUUUACCUCAUUAUGAUGGAAAAGACGAUGUAUAUAUAUACGUGCAUAUCCCUUAUAUAAAUUCUUAUAUUUAUAUAAGGCUACGACGAUUGCGUCUAAUGCUCACGUCGCACCAUAAUGGAAUUUUACCUCAUUAUGGUGGAAAAGCACGUAUAGCUAGUUAGCAUUUCUUUAUAUACAUACUAUUCUCAUAAUCAUCCAUAUACAUAUCCACCGAAAAUCUCAUUUUCGGUAACUUUCCAAAUAACACGAUAGCCAUUAAAAAUGAGAACAUUUACUUUUGAAAAUGACUUCACGAAAAUAAACAAUUCCACAAAUUGAUAUUCAAUAAAAUCAAUCAUUUGAUAUAGAAUCACCGCACGCAUAUAUUUUAAAACAAAAGUCCACUCACAACUUUAGGCCUAAGCUUGACGUCGAUCCGAUGUCUCUUCUGCUUGAGCCUCCUUACGUCCUGUUUCCAAAUGUAAAAUUAAUUUCCCAACUAAAAAUCCAAGUAUUAAACAAAAUAGGCAAAAUUAAACGAGAGCCAUAACCACGCUCAUCAUUGCCUAACUUCGAUAUUCCUAAAUUGAAACGAUCCAAACUUUAAUACCAUAAACGGCAGCCGUAAAUACAACCUCCCCAGAACAACGACUUAAAUCCUACGGCCGGAUUCUACAUUAAUUAACCGCCAAAAAUACCAAACUUCGGAAAAUCACAAACCCGUCCAAAACUCCUCCAAAAAUUUCAUAAUUCACAUCAAUAAACUCCCCUUAAUAUUCCACAUUUAAAACCAUAAAAAUCUCCCAAACAACAACGGUGGCGCCGCCAGCUCCGCAGGCAGCGGCGGCCGGAGGCCGACUCCGGCGACCUCCAAUGCCAAUGAAAUUUUGACAGCAUCUUUGUCACAUCCCGACCCUUAUAUUUUUACCUUAUUUACUAGCGUGAUUAUAAUAAGAAUUUUACCGUCUCGAUCAUUGAGUAAAUAGUUUAAUUGGUCCCUAGAGGGGUUUCGGGGACGAUUAUGUGCGGAGGAUUAUUCGUAUGAGGAAAAUACGACUACGGUAAAAAUGGUAAAUUUUAGCUAGUAAAAGGUAAUUUUUAUUCGGGUAUUAUUUUUCGGGGUGUUGAAUUUUGGAAAUUUGGGUUAAAAGGAAUGUUGGGUCGGCUGGGCCGAGCCCAACCCAUUUCUUCUUCCUUUCUCUCUCCCUCCCGAUUUUUCUUCUCUUCCCACCCGGUUUUCUCCUUUCUCCACCCGGAAAGUUCUCCACCGCCGUCCGCCGCCGUCCGGCCGCCCCAGACCGCCACACCGGUCCCAAUCGAUCGGUCUCCCACCCAGCAACCUUCCUGGACCGGUGAGAGGAGCCCUAGCGCCGCCGUGAGUGAGCGGUGCCGCCCGAAAGCUUCGACUGCCGAAUUGGUUUUUUCGCCGGAACUUCCUCCUCCGGCCACCAAUCCGGGCAAGCUUGGUAUGGUUUUGUAGCCCUCCAACCCAGCAACCUUGCCCUAAAAGGACUCACUCCCUCUUGAGCUAGGUAAGGAGAAAUUUGAAGUGGAAGUUUUAUGGUGUUUUUGAUGUUUUUAGUCGAUUGCCCUAGUUAGGCUUGGAAUUGGUGUUUGUGCUAGUUAUGAAAGUUGUAGAGCUUGAUGAGAAGAAGAUGCUGUUAAAAUUUCAUAGGUUUUGGAGGUCACCGGAAUUGACCUCCGGCCGCCGCCGGUUGGGAGAUUUUAAUGUUGUUAAAUUUGGAAUAUUAAGGGGAGUUUAUUGAAGUGAGUUAUAGAAUUUUUGGAUGAGUUUUGGAUAGGUUUAUGAAUUUCCGAAGUGUGGUAUUUUUGGCGGGUAAUUAAUGUAGAAUCCGGCCGUUGGAUUUAAGUCGUAUUUUGGAGAGGUUGUAUUUACGACUGUGGAGUAUGAUAUUUAAGUUCGGAUCGUCCGAUGUAAGAAUAUCGAAGUUAGGCAAUAAUGAGCGUAAUUAUGGCUCUCGGGUAAUUUUGCCUAUUUUGAUUAAAUAUUGGAUAUUGGUUGGGAAAUUAAUAUUAUAUUUGGAACAGGACGUGAAGAGGCUCGAGCAGACGAGACCCCAGAUNNNNNNNNNNNNNNNNNNNNUUCAUAGUAGGGGUAUGGGCACAUAUUUAUACACCCGUCUGUCCAC
rnacentral:lncRNA from 1 species